UUAGGUUCUCCUGCACUUUUGACAUAAACAACCUUCAGCUCCCAAGUUAGCAUUGCUACUAGUCCCUCGUCUAUAGGACAGUCUACUAAUAUCCUAAAACAUUUAGGUUUGUUAUGUGAUUAAGUAAGAGGGAAUAAAGUUUAGGGAUUAUCAUGUGAUAAGAAAACUCUAGACUCUUCUGCAGGUCAAUCAUUUUCUUGAUAACAGUAGUAUAAAACAGCAUCUUUAUGCAACUGUUGAUUCAAAUACCAUCAUAAACGAACCAACUUAACCAUACACACAAGGACUUCAUGAAAUGCAAAAUCCUCGACUGCUUUUAAAAGUAAACAUGAAAAAUCAUCAGAAUAUGGCUUAUAGGGAUCCAAGAAGAGAGCUCUCUAAGAGAGGGAAUAAAAGACCAUGUGUCAAAAAUCUAACUCAUUAAUGAUGGAGCCAGAAGGAUGUGGAAGGUGGUUCAAAGAACACUUGAGGAACAGAGGCUUACAGAGUUAUUCAAUAAAGGAGUGAUGAAACAUGUCUGAUAAAUUAGAUAUUUGAAAACUGAUGUCCUAGAGGGCAAUAAAACUAUAAUCUCUG